rnacentral:rRNA from 1 species
GAUGAACGCUAGCUACAGGCUUAACACAUGCAAGUCGAGGGGAAACGAUAUUGGAAGCUUGCUUCCGAUAGGCGUCGACCGGCGCACGGGUGAGUAACGCGUAUCCAACCUGCCCAUCACUUGGGGAUAACCUUGCGAAAGUAAGACUAAUACCCAAUGAUAUUUAUAGAAGGCAUCCGAAAUGAAUUAAAGAUUUAUCGGUGAUGGAUGGGGAUGCGUCUGAUUAGCUUGUUGGCGGGGUAACGGCCCACCAAGGCGACGAUCAGUAGGGGUUCUGAGAGGAAAGUCCCCCAGAUUGGAACUGAGACACGGUCCAAACUCCUACGGGAGGCAGCAGUGAGGAAUAUUGGUCAAUGGGCGAGAGCCUGAACCAGCCAAGUAGCGUGCAGGAUGACGGCCCUAUGGGUUGUAAACUGCUUUUAUAGGGGAAUAAAGUGAGCCACGUGUGGUUUUUUGCAUGUACCCUAUGAAUAAGGACCGGCUAAUUCCGUGCCAGCCGCCGCCGUAACAC